rnacentral:rRNA from 1 species
CCCUUAGAUGUCCUGGGCCGCACGCGCGUUACACUGAUGCAUUCAACGAGCUUAUAACCUUGGCCGAGAGGCCUGGGCAAUCUUGUUAACGUGCACCGUGAUAGGGAUAGAUUAUUGAAAUUAUUAAUCUUGAACGAGGAAUUCCUAGUAAACGCAGAUCAUCAAUCUGCAUUGAUUACGUCCCUGCCCUUUGUACACACCGCCCGUCGCACCUACCGAUUGGAUGGUCCGGUGAAGCCUCGGGAUUGUGGUUCUUGCCGCUUUAUUGUAGCGUGACCGCGAGAACUUGUCUAAACCUUAUCAUCUAGAGGAAGGUGAAGUCGUAACA